rnacentral:tRNA from 1 species
GGCGUGUAGGCUCAGUUGGUAGAGCGCUGCGGCACCCUCAAGCGUGAGGUAACGCCGCAUGGUCGCCGGUUCGAAUCCGGCCACGCCACCA